GCCAGUGUGGUGUAGUGUUAUGAGCACUGGACUAUGAAUCUGGAGACCAGGGUUCGAAUCCCUGCUCAGCCA
rnacentral:tRNA from 1 species